rnacentral:lncRNA from 1 species
CAAGGAAUAAAUAAAAAUCUUUAGUUAACUUAUCAGUUACAAAUUCAAUUAAUAAAAAUAAAAUAAUGAAAGGUGUUGUUACAAUAAGCCAAAGGGUGUGUGGAUGCUUAUAUAUUAGUAGCUUAUGCUCAUGACAUGGGGAUUUAUUUUUUUGUGUGACCAACUUUGAUUUAAAGUACAGCAACACCAUACACACUUUUUUAUCUAUAGUCAGCUAUCUUCCACUCUUCCAUUUUUUGUCACCCAUCAUUCCUUCACCCACCAAACCACUAUAAAGCCAAACCCAUAUCUAAAAAAAUAAAGAGAGGAGAUAGUGUAAAACAGAUUCCUUCUAGCUUCUUUAGUUUCCAUUUUCCAUACUCUUAGUAUAUGCACAUAUGAUAAACCAAAUAAAUUCUGGUCUGCACCAGAAAUUCCCAAAUCCAAAACACUAGCAGGCUAUAUUCUUCGAUUUAUCUUCAUUAGGCAGCACUAUCAACAGUAAUAAUAGUACAUAUUCUCUACAUCAAAGUUCAAGGAGAACAUGUCCAUACCUACAACACACACGCCAUCUACACAUGAGAAUACAUAUAUGCCUAUCACUUGCACACACAGAAAAACCAGAAAAGAUAGAGUAACAUAUCACACUACAACACAAGCAAUCAGAAUACAUAUAUCGGCUAUCACAGAUCAUACACAUAACACACUGAGAUACACAAAGAACAAUCAGAUAUCAUAUAUAACACACACAUACACAGAAUACACAAGCAAUUACAACACAGAAGAAAAUUGAGAUACUUGGUACACAAAGAGGAGUAAGAAACAGCCGAGAUACCAAUAGCUAGAGAAAAAAGGAUGAGCAACAAGUAAAGACAAUGACAACAAGGUUCUGAAUUCAUCAGGUAAUAAUUUACCCUCCUUUACUCAGUAGUUAAUCCUCAGUUCUGAAUUCAUACUUACUUAAUGUACAACAUAUUUAUACAGAAAAUGCGUUUAUGUGUAUUUGAUUAACAUGAAAGCAAAUAAUGCAUCAUGUCAUCAUAAAACAAUUUCAAUCAGAAUUUGUUUCUGAAUGAAUUUUCACCCAAAUCCAUUUUCUUACACAUAUCACCAAUCAAUUCAUACUGUAAGGGAUAAGUAACAUUUGAAUAGAAGGGGAUAAGAUUCAUUACCGAAGCCCCUUGUUUCUGCCGGUGUUAGGCAGUGAUGUAUGGCCAUCAAUGGCCUCAUUCAUCAUCUCGUAAAUGUAGUGACCCUUUCAUUUGAGGAUGUUACAUACAAGAAAUCCUCUCCCCUUGGUCAUAGCAACACCACCCGGUAGGCCACCAUUGUUAGACAAAGAAUCUCAGUUCGUGGGAGUCAUCGACUCCACCUUAUCCACCAUGGCAGAUGACAUAGCCUUCACCGGGGGGAACCAUAACUUGGAUGGAAAUGAACUCCCUUGCGGGAAGGAAGAAAGGGGAGGAUGACCUUUGUUGCUCUUUGUGAUUAAGAAGACAACCAAGUGGAGCCUCCUCAGUGUGCCUCUCUACGACGACCGAAGAGGAAAUAUCGCCUUCUACCCCCAUGCUUGAACCGCCAUCGCCGCCGAGGAAGGAGAAAAGAAGGGAGAUGAGAUGGAAAUUAGGGAUUUCAUUCCCUUUGUGUUUCAUGGAGUUCUUAUUUUUUUUCCCGAUGAAUAAAUGGGGCUAAAAGCCUUUAGCCCAAAUUACAGACCUCCACUAUAAACCAUAGAGGCAUUGUCUAGUAAAAGUUUAACACUACAAAAGCUAGGAGCGACAUCAAAAAUAUGAAAACGUCUAUCUAACGACAACCCAAACUUUGCUAAUUCAUCCGCUAUUGCAUUUGCUUCACGAAAAAUAUGCCCACACUGGAAGUGACUAAACUUGGAGAAAAUGGAAUGGAUGUUGGCAAUUAGGACCGCACAAGGAUGAUUAGGCUGACACCCACCCUGAAUGGGAUGAAUACUGACAGCAGAAUCAGAUUCAAUAAAAACAUCCUUGAAACCCCUUUGUUUUAACAGUCUCAAACCAAUAAGAAUACCCCAUAACUCUGCUUGGACUAUAGAGCACUUACUUAAUUGUUGAGAGAAACCGAAAAUGAAGGCACCAUGGUGGUCACGCGCUACGCCACCACAAGCUGCCAUAUGAGAAACUGAAGAAAAAGAACCAUCAGUAUUCAUCUUGAUCCAUCCAAACUCUAGAGGAGACGGGCGGAUAGGAGGGAGGGGAAAGUGAGUUGUUGAAGGAACCAGGUUACUGAAAACUCUAGCUGAGCAAGAGGUUAAGGCCAAAAUCUUAUUACACAUUGAAGUUGUGGACGUGGUCAAAUUCUGAAAAAUCAGCUUGUUUCUACAUCUCUAAAUUGUGUCAAUUGCAAUUCCAAAAACUAGAGGUCAAUUGAAAUCCCUAAAUUUCUCGCUGCUGGACAGAUUCUCUGUUAGCCAUGCAUGAAGAUCAGAUCAAAAGGACUGCAAUCCCGAUAUCUUUAGUAGGGAGGACCAAACAUCUUUUGAUUGGGAACAGUCCCUAAUCAUAUGUAGAGUAGACUCUAAAGCUUGACACCAAGGACAUGCGUCAGAGUUGGUCAUCCCUCUGCUCAUACGUUGAUCAUUCGUGGAAAGGUAGUUGGAGAAUAAUCUCCAGAGCAAAAGAUUAAUGCAGUAAGGGACUUUCCAUUGCCAAAUAAUUUUAGCUAGAUUAAUAAGGUGAAGAUGAAGAUGACCAGCUGGAAGGGAGUAAGCCAAAGCAACCGAAAAUGAACCAUCCUUUGAUCCCAACCACAUAACUGAAUCCUCAAUCAAUUGAUGAGCAAGAGGAUGCAUGGCCGAAAUUUUAUUAGCAAUCUCCAAAGGGACUGAGGCAAGCAACACUCUAGAAUCCCACUACCCCACCUCAUUUACUAGAUCGACAACCACAGAGUUAGAAGACAAAUUCUGAUUGUGACCUAAGAGUGAUGUUCCAAAGCAAUCUCAUUUGGAAUCCAUCUAUCUGUCAAAAAAUGAAUCUCUUUGCCAUUUCCAACUCUCCAUCAUAAAGCUUUGAUUAACCAGUCUUGAUUGUCUGAGACUUAACCCUCCUGCCAGCUUUGGUUUGCAUAAAAAAGUCCAAUUUUUCCAGUGAGUUUUGCGGUGAGAAUCAGUCUCACCCCACACGAAAGACCUAUAGAGUUUAUCCAAAUAAUCGCAAAUAGAGGAAGGCAACGGGGAGGUCUGCAUUACAUAGGAAGGAAGAGCUUGCAAAACUGAGUUAACCAACGUCAACCUUCCUGCAAAGGACAGCUGAUUGCAUUUCCAACUACUCACGCGAUUUUUAGCAUUUUCCAAAAUAUAAUUAAAACGAUUCCGACGAUUAUUCAGAUGCUGGAUUGGCACACCUAGAUACUUACCGAGAUCAGUGGUCCUGGAAAAUCCAAGCUCAGCCACAAUUUGACUCCUUAUAUUUUCAUGCACAUUUUUUGAGAAGAAAACCCUGAGAUUUAUCUUUAUUAAUCCUUUGACCAGAGCUCUUGCAAUACAAAUCCAGACAAGUGUUAAUGACCUGCACCUGCCUCAAAGAUACUUCAUCAAAAAGGAUAAAAUCAUCUGCGAAAGCCAAAUGACUUAAUUUAGGACCAUUUCUUCCUAUUUGAAUCGGUUUCCAAAAUCCAGCUUCCCAGGCAGCACAUAUCAGUUGGGAAAGCCAUUCCAGAUAGAGAACGAAAAUAUACGGAGAAAUUGGAUCCCCUUGCCUAACUCCUCGCAUAGGAAUAAAAGAAGUUAGGGACUCUCCAUUCCAUAGCACCUGCGUAGACAGAGUCGUAAUACAAGCCAUAAUCAAAUUAACUAGAUUACAAGGCAGGUCCGCCUCGGUAAGGGAAUCCUUAACAAACCUCCAAUCCAAUCUAUCAUAAGCUUUUUCAAAAUCGAGCUUUAUCGCCAUCCAACCAGUCUUGCCUUCUUUGUUGUGCGUAGAAUGGACAACUUCCUGAGUUAUAAUAAUGUUGUCGCUGCUUUGCCUACCAAGGAUGAAACUACUCUGGAAAGGUCCAGUGACAGCAUGCAUGACACUCCUCAAACGCGUAGCCAGCACCUUAGUAAUCACUUUAUAAGAUACGUUGCACAGACUAAUUGGUCGAAACUGCUUGAGAUGGGAAGCUUGCUCGGUUUUGGGGAUGAGGCUGAUCAAGGUCUCAUUCAGAUCCCCCACUAGAGAGGGAUUGAUGAAGGCCCUUUUAACAAGAUCCCAUAAUUUGGAACCCACCACAUUCCAAUGAUUUUGAUAAAAGAGAGCAUGGAGACCAUCCUUCCCAGGAGACUUAAAACCCUAAUGCUAAACACAACUCUCCUGAUCUCUUUAGUGCUAACUGGAGUGCGGAGCAUCGCUUUAUGAUGAUCCGCCAGAACUGGAAAACAACCUGUUAAAGCAAAAGGAAGAACGGGCACAUAUGAAAUAUAAAGAUCUAUUAACUAAAUAAGAAAAUUAUGUUCUUACAUUUUCAACCUAUACACGUGUUAAGCUUAGAAGAAUUUUUUUCCCGCUCAAACUCUCUACACAUUUCUGCAAAAUCACUCACUCAUCCAUAAACACCACUUGUCAUUAUUAUUAUAAUAAUAAUAAAGAAAAAUUGUAAAAAUCAGUCAAGAAAUUUAAAUAAUAGCUGUCAAUCAUUAUUCUGCAACUCUCUUACUCAUCACAUUAAAUAAAAUGACUCACUCAUCUCAUAAACGCCACUUGUCAUUAUUAUUAUUAUAAUAAUAAGAAAAACUGUAAAAAUCAGCCAAGAAAUUUAAAUGAUAGCUGUCAAUCAUUAUUUCACCCACUACUUUUUGUUCAUUAAUUUAUCACAUUUGUUUGGUUCCGUGUGAAAUGCAGUACUAUUCAUAUUUUGAAUGAUUUUUUAGUUUGAAAGUAAUAUACUUUAUCAGUUAGAAAGAAACUUUUUGAUAUUCGUUGGAAAGAAACUUAUUAUUUCAUGGAGCUUUAGGACUACUAUUCAUAUUUAGUUAGAAAUAAACUUUUCAUUUCCUGGGGCUUUGGGUUGUAUUAUCACUCAUACACGUAUUGUCAUAUUUACCACUCUAACACAAUGACUUUUACAUACCUAUUUCUCAGCUUCAUCAUUACUCUACUCUUCACUUUCCUCUUUAUCUAUGAUACAUUGCUUAUCUUAUUUUUCACUUUUCAAAAUACUCAAUACUCAAUACUCAAUUUGUGCUUCAGAUAGUGGUAAGACUUUUUGCUUUUAUUUUUCAUGUUAUUACACCGUUACUUUUUCUAUGUUCAUUGCAUUUCUUUUUUUGUUUAUCAUUAUACUAGCAUUUCAUUAUUUUGGCGGGUUGACAGUUCUGCUCCAUCUUUGGAAAUGAAAAUUUCAUCAUUUUUCUAUGUUCAUUUUCAUCCUUUUUCUAUGUUCAUUGCAUUUCUUUUUUUGUUUAUCAUUAUACUAGCAUUUUAUUUUUUGUACUUAUGUUAUUAAUUUUUUGGUUCUUUCUGUAGUAACUAACAUUUACAUUUGAUAGUGUAUUUUUUGCAUCCUCCAAAGCCUUUUCAUAUAUUGUUAUUUUAUUUUAUUUUUUAUGCUCCAAAGCUAUUUCACCUUACAAACCCUUAUUUGUUGUUGUUGGAUCUAUUUGUUAUCAUUGUCAAGUUAUUAGUCAUAUCUUUUUUCAGCUGAAAUUAUUGACUGUUAAUGGUAACGAUGAUAAUGAAAUUCUCAUUUCACUUUUUUCUACUCGCAGCAAUCAUGGCACGUAGAGUGAACUUCAUUUCUGAGAUAAACGGUUCAAAAGAUACUUGGAAGUUGAAGGUUAGGAUUAUUGGUCUUUGGCGGGUUGACAGAUCUUCUN